CCUUUGCCAAGAAAACCCCAGAUGGGGGUACAAAGAGUCAGACAUAACUAAAAUAACUCAGCAACAGUAUGCAAGAUACAUACAGACUAAAGGAGUGGUCAGCUGAUAAUUUGUGCCAUACUUAUAGAGUGAGAACACACGUAAAUUUCUGACUUCUCAUUUGAGGGAGUCAGGGAUUCCCUCCAGUCUCUAGCUGUUUUCCGUACCUUCGUGGGUUGAUUUUCACUGUCUUUUUUUUUUCUCUUAUCCCCUCUUUCUUCACUUAAAUUCUCUCUGACUUCACAAUCUGAUGGUAACACCAUCUUUCACCCCAUCUUGCAUGUUUUAAUCUUUGCCAUAAUUUCUGAUUCUUCCCACUUUUAUACUCUGUCAUCUUCCGAUAUCUAGUCAGUUACCGCCCCAUCUUUUCUCCGCUAUCAUUUCUACCUUCAGUCCUUCCCCAGAAGUAUACCCACCAACCUGUUUCCUUCCCAACCCUUAAACAGCUCCUGAAAUCCAUCCUCUCCUUAGAACACAAUCAUUUUUCCUUUUUUGUUUGUUUUUUCAGUCACAUCUGACUCUUUGUGACCCCAUUUGGGAUUUUCUUGGCAAAGACACUGGAGUGAUUCUCAGUGAGCAAAGAAAGCCUGAGUCCUGUCCCUUGACCUAUCCAAAGAUGGAUCUUCUUCCAAGGUCAGCAGAGUUACUCCAUAUAUUUGAAAGUAUUAACAUGGAAUCCCAGGACUGGGAGGAGCCUUAACGCCUUCAUUUUGCAGUUUCUUUCUUCGUGGAACCUCUGGACUGCUUCAUGGGAUCCCCCUCUUUCAAAGACAGUUUGAGAGGAGAUGUCCUCCAAAGAGACUGAUGAAACUCAUGUGCAUCUCUGCUGCGUGUGCCCACUCUCCCAUCUCACUGGAAACCAGGACUCCACUCCUAGCUUCUCCCCUCUGCAGCCAUCGCUACAUGGGUUGGCCUCAUGCGCACAGAUAGCCUGAGCUGCCAUGCUCCCAGAAGUCCCUGCCGAUGGAGGAGUCACUGCCACCACCUGCCCAUCCCCAGGGAAGCCUGGAUCCUAUGGACAGUGCUGAGCAUGAGUCAGGGAAGAAGACACCUGUGCUCUUUGGAGCAGUUUAGAACCGGAAGCCAUUGGCUGACGGUCCACAAAGGAAUGCCUGGAUGAGCUGCGGGAUCUCAGAGAUCAGACAUGGGCUGUACAUGUACUUAGCACACACAUACUUGUAUACAUUCAGCACAUUCAGCCAACCCCACCCACUCCUUACCUUUUCAGCGGCAGCAUUCACACCUUAGAAAUUGGCAAAAGCCACCGAUGGGAGCUUGACUUGUUUCUCCUUCAUUCUCAGAGAGGACCAUGGUGUCAGGAAGGUGAUGUCAUGACUUGCAAGUGAAUUGGAUUUAA